GAGUGGCGAACGGGUGAGUAAUACAUCGGAACGUGUCCGCUCGUGGGGGACAACCAGCCGAAAGGUUGGCUAAUACCGCAUGAGUUCUACGGAAGAAAGAGGGGGACCCGCAAGGGCCUCUCGCGAGCGGAGCGGCCGAUGACUGAUUAGCCGGUUGGUGAGGUAACGGCUCACCAAAGCAACGAUCAGUAGCUGGUCUGAGAGGACGACCAGCCACACUGGGACUGAGACGCGGCCCAGACUCCUACGGGAGGCAGCAGUGGGGAAUUUUGGACAAUGGGCGCAAGCCUGAUCCAGCUAUUCCGCGUGUGGGAUGAAGGCCCUCGGGUUGUAAACCACUUUUGUAGAGAACGAAAAGACACCUUCGAAUAAAGGGUGUUGCUGACGGUACUCUAAGAAUAAGCACCGGCUAACUACGUGCCAGCAGCCGCGGUAAUACGUAGGGUGCGAGCGUUAAUCGGAAUUACUGGGCGUAAAGGGUGCGCAGGCGGUUGAGUAAGACAGAUGUGAAAUCCCCGAGCUUAACUCGGGAAUGGCAUAUGUGACUGCUCGGCUAGAGUGUGUCAGAGGGAGGUGGAAUUCCACGUGUAGCAGUGAAAUGCGUAGAUAUGUGGAAGAACACCGAUGGCGAAGGCAGCCUCCUGGGACAUAACUGACGCUCAGGCACGAAAGCGUGGGGAGCAAACAGGAUUAGAUACCCUGGUAGUCCACGCCCUAAACGAUGUCAACUAGUUGUUGGGAAGUAAUAUUCUCAGU
rnacentral:rRNA from 1 species